GAAAGAUUCAUCGGAAGAGGAUGGGCAUGCGGCGCAUUAGCUUGACGGCGGGGUAACGGCCCACCGUGGCGACGAUGCGUAGGGGUUCUGAGAGGAAGGUCCCCCACACUGGUACUGAGACACGGACCAGACUCCUACGGGAGGCAGCAGUGAGGAAUAUUGGUCAAUGGGAGAGAUCCUGAACCAGCCAAGCCGCGUGAGGGAAGACGGCCCUAUGGGUUGUAAACCUCUUUUGUCGGAGAACAAAACCCGGGACGUGUCCCGGACUGCGUGUAUCCGAAGAAAAAGCAUCGGCUAACUCCGUGCCAGCAGCCGCGGUAAUACGGAGGAUGCGAGCGUUAUCCGGAUUUAUUGGGUCUAAAGGGUGCGUAGGCGGUCCGUUAAGUCAGCGGUAAAAUUGCGGGGCUCAACCCCGUCGAGCCGUUGAAACUGGCAGACUUGAGUUGGCGAGAAGUACGCGGAAUGCGCGGUGUAGCGGUGAAAUGCAUAGAUAUCGCGCAGAACUCCGAUUGCGAAGGCAGCGUACCGGCGCCAGACUGACGCUGAGGCACGAAAGCGUGGGGAUCGAACAGGAUUAGAUACCCUGGUAGUCCACGCAGUAAA
rnacentral:rRNA from 1 species